GACGAACGCUGGCGGCGUGCUUAACACAUGCAAGUCGAACGGUGAAAGCGGAGCUUGCUCUGCUGGAUCAGUGGCGAACGGGUGAGUAACACGUGGGCAACCUGCCCCUCACUUCGGGAUAACUCCGGGAAGCCGGGGCUAAUACCGGAAAUGACCUCCUUGGGCAUCCUCGGAGGUGGAAAGUUUUUCGGUGAGGGAUGGGCGCGCGGCCUAACAGCUUGUGGGUGGGGUAGUGGCUCACCAAGGCGACGAGGGGUGGCCGGCCUGAGAGGGGGACGGGCCACACUGGAACUGAGGCCCGGCCCAGACUCCGACGUGAGGCAGGAGUGGGGAAUAUGGAGCAAUGGGCGAAGGCCGAACGCAGCAACGCCGCGUGCGGGAUGACGGCCUUCGGGUUGUAAACCGCUUUCAGCAGGGAAGAAGCCGCAAGGUGACGGUACCUGCAGAAGAAGCACCGGCUAACUACGUGCCAGCAGCCGCCGUAA
rnacentral:rRNA from 1 species